rnacentral:pre_miRNA from 15 species
GUGAUGAAUCCAUAGGUGGCCCGGGUGUAUUCUACAGUGCAUGUGUCUCCAGUGUGACUAAGGGACUGGAGAUACAGCCCUGUUGGAAUAACAACCGAAGCCCAUGUCUUCAUGGAACC